GGAAUCGCUAGUAAUCGCGGAUCAGAAUGCCGCGGUGAAUACGUUCCCGGGUCUUGUACACACCGCCCGUCACACCAUGGGAGUUGGAUCUACCCGAAGAUUGUGAGCUAACUUCGGAGGCAGCAAGCCACGGUAGGUUCAGCGACUGGGGUGAAGUCGUAACAAGGUAACCCUAGGGGAACCUGGGGUUGGAUCACCUCCUU
rnacentral:rRNA from 1 species